AAACCGUUCGGGGGUAAACGGACAGAGCCCGUGAAUCCGGGCGACGGAAUUCAGAAUCGACGGCGUUGCGUCGUCGGUUCGAUAUUUCCGUCGCCGAACGGACGUCGCGACCCGUUCGGUGUCGGUCUGAGGAGACGCGCUCGUGAGCGUUGUCGGCUCGGCGGGCGUUUGCGAGUCGUUCUUUUCUGGCCGACUCGCCGGACGGUAUGCAAGCGGUGAUCGCGGCGGCCUAGCGCCGUCGUUACCGGUCUGCGACGAAUCUUCGGGCCUCUUUCCGA
rnacentral:rRNA from 1 species